rnacentral:tRNA from 1 species
ACCCUUAACUCCCAAAGCCAUUAAACUAUUCUCUGAACAACACAUA